ACGUAGGGUGCGAGCGUUAAUCGGAAUUACUGGGCGUAAAGAGUGCGUAGGCGGAUAUUCAAGUUAGAUGUGAAAUCCCUGGGCUUAACCUAGGAAUGGCAUUUAAGACUGGAUGUCUAGAGUUUGUGAGAGGGUGGUAGAAUUCCAAGUGUAGCAGUGAAAUGCGUAGAGAUUUGGAGGAAUACCGAUGGCGAAGGCAGCCACCUGGGAUAGAACUGACGCUGAGGCACGAAAGCGUGGGGAGCAAACAGG
rnacentral:rRNA from 1 species